rnacentral:rRNA from 1 species
UCAGAUUGAACGCUGGCGGCAGGCUUAACACAUGCAAGUCGAACGGUAACAGAAGAUAGCUUGCUAUUUUGCUGACGAGUGGCGGACGGGUGAGUAAUGCUUGGGAAUAUGCCUUAUGGUGGGGGACAACAGUUGGAAACGACUGCUAAUACCGCAUAAUAUCUUCGGAUCAAAGUGGGGGACCUUCGGGCCUCACGCCAUGAGAGUAGCCCAAGUGGGAUUAGCUAGUUGGUAAGGUAAUGGCUUACCAAGGCGACGAUCCCUAGCUGGUCUUAGAGGAUGACCAGCCACACUGGAACUGAGACACGGUCCAGACUCCUACGGGAGGCAGCAGUGGGGAAUAUUGCACAAUGGAGGAAACUCUGAUGCAGCCAUGCCGCGUGUGUGAAGAAGGCUUUCGGGUUGUAAAGCACUUUCAGUGGGGAGGAAAGGUUAUUGUUUAAUAGACAGUAGCUGUGACGUUACCCACAGAAGAAGCACCGGCUAACUCCGUGCCAGCAGCCGCGGUAAUACGGAGGGUGCGAGCGUUAAUCGGAAUUACUGGGCGUAAAGCGCGCGUAGGUGGUUAAUUAAGUCAGAUGUGAAAGCCCAGGGCUCAACCUUGGAACUGCAUUUGAAACUGGUUAACUAGAGUUUUGUAGAGGGUGGUAGAAUUUCAGGUGUAGCGGUGAAAUGCGUAGAGAUCUGAAGGAAUACCAGUGGCGAAGGCGGCCACCUGGACAAAGACUGACACUGAGGCGCGAAGGCGUGGGGAGCAAACGGGAUUAGAUACCCCGGUAGUCCACGCAGUAAACGAUGUCUAUUAGAAGUUUGUGGCUAUAUGCCGUGGGUUUCAAAGCUAACGC